UAAUAAUAAUAAUGAUAAUAAUAAUAAUUAAAAAUAUUAAACUAAUUAAUAAAAAUACAAUAUAAAAAAAACACAAAAAGGAUUAAAUUGCAACUAGAACGAAAUUAAUCGGGAAAUAACGUAAAUAAAACAAAAAAGGGCCAAUGUGCAAUGCGCGAAUAACAUGGAGGACUAAUCAGAAAUAUUCCCCGCCCUCUCAAAACGUAGCGUUGCAUUGGAUUAAAAUGAAACAAAAGAAAAACGAGAGGUUGAAUUCAAAGAAGAAUAAAAGGACUGGAUUUAAGCGCGCUGCAAGAGUAAAGGACCAUUAGCACAAAUAUACCCAAGCAUUGCGAAGCGCGCGGAUCCUUCCCCAGGUCGAGUCACCGCGCGGGUUGCUGGGGUUAAUCGAUCAAUACGACACCGUUUUACGUGCUAUAUAAGACCCCCUCCAGAACCCUAAAAACCGUUUGUUAACACACAGACACCAGCCUCUACCCUUCUGCGCCGCUUUAGCAUCGAAAGCCCCCCUUGCCUAUUCAAUCUUGGCCUGAACGGAGGGGGAUUUGGCGACGCACUGAUCCAGGUAAUGUUUUCUGAACUCCUCUCCUUUUUUUACUUUAUAUAGAUGCUUGUAUAUAUUUAAUAGCAAACAGAAAAAGGAAAAAAAAAAGGUAAUCGGAAACAUAAUGCAAAAGAGGAAAAAAGAAAAC
rnacentral:lncRNA from 1 species